AAGUCGUAACAAGGUUUCCGUAGGUGAACCUGCGGAAGGAUCAUUAACACGUAUCCAAACGUUAAAACCCCCCCCGUGAACCUUCAUCCUGCUCUUGUAACCCGCGUAGUUCGCAAUCUCUGAUAAAUCAUAGCCCGGAAAGUUGUAGUGAUUCAGAGACCUCUGGCUACGUGCGAACAUUGGAACAGUUACAAUCGAGCGGUAGUUCUAUAGGCAAUGUUUCUCCAAGCAGUCAGUGUCGGAAAGUGUCAUUGAUUGUGCAAGGAUAGCGCUUCUACGAUUCCAUGCCCCCUAAUAACCCCACAGUUUAAUGUGAAGCUCAAUGUAAUACAUUGGGUAAAAAAACCGAACAACUGUUAACAAUGGAUAUCUUGGUUCUC
rnacentral:misc_RNA from 1 species